rnacentral:rRNA from 1 species
UACAGAGGGUGCAAACGUUGUUCGGAAUUACUGGGCGUAAAGCGCGCGUAGGCGGCCGCUUAAGUCGGAUGUGAAAGCCCCUGGCUCAACUGGGGAAGUGCACCCGAAACUGAGUGGCUUGAGUACUAAAGAGGGUCGCGGAAUUCCCGGUGUAGAGGUGAAAUUCGUAGAUAUCGGGAGGAACACCGGUGGCGAAGGCGGCGACCUGGGUAGAUACUGACGCUGAGGCGCGAAAGCGUGGGGAGCAAACAGG